rnacentral:rRNA from 1 species
GACGAACGCUGGCGGCGUGCCUAAUACACGCAAGUCGAGCGAAGUUUUUCUGGUGCUUGCACCGGAAAAACUUAGCGGCGAACGGGUGAGUAACACGUAAAGAACCUGCCUCAUAGACUGGGACAACUAUUGGAAACGAUAGCUAAUACCGGAUAACAGCAUUAACUGCAUGGUUGAUGUUUAAAAGUUGGUUUUGCUAACACUAUGAGAUGGCUUUGCGGUGCAUUAGCUAGUUGGUGGGGUAAAGGCCUACCAAGGCGACGAUGCAUAGCCGACCUGAGAGGGUGAUCGGCCACACUGGGACUGAGACACGGCCCAGACUCCUACGGGAGGCAGCAGUAGGGAAUCUUCCGCAAUGGGCGAAAGCCUGACGGAGCAACGCCGCGUGAGUGAAGAAGGAUUUCGGUUCGUAAAGCUCUGUUGUUAGGGAAGAAUGAUUGUGUAGUAACUAUACACAGUAGAGACGG